rnacentral:rRNA from 1 species
GAUGAACGCUGGCGGCAGGCCUAACACAUGCAAGUCGAACGGAUCCUUCGGGAUUAGUGGCGGACGGGUGAGUAACGCGUGGGAACAUACCCUUUGGUACGGAAUAGCCUCGGGAAACUGGGAGUAAUACCGUAUGUGGUCGAGAGACGAAAGAUUUAUCGCCAAAGGAUUGGCCCGCGUUGGAGUAGGUAGUUGGUGGGGUAAUGGCCUACCAAGCCGACGAUCCAUAGCUGGUUUGAGAGGAUGAUCAGCCACACUGGGACUGAGACACGGCCCAGACUCCUACGGGAGGGAGCAGUGGGGAAUCUUAGACAAUGGGGGAAACCCUGAUCUAGCCAUGCCGCGUGAUCGAUGAAGGCCUUAGGGUUGUAAAGAUCUUUCAGGUGGGAAGAUAAUGACUGUACCACCAGAAGAAGCCCCGGCUAACUCCGUGCCAGCCGCCGCCGUAAUAC